rnacentral:rRNA from 1 species
UACGUAGGGGGCUAGCGUUGUCCGGAAUCAUUGGGCGUAAAGCGCGUGUAGGCGGCUCGGUAAGUCUGCUGUGAAAGUCCAGGGCUCAACCCUGGGAUGCCGGUGGAUACUGUCGAGCUCGAGUCCGGAAGAGGCGAGUGGAAUUCCUGGUGUAGCGGUGAAAUGCGCAGAUAUCAGGAGGAACACCAAUGGCGAAGGCAGCUCGCUGGGACGUGACUGACGCUGAGACGCGAAAGCGUGGGGAGCGAACAGG